rnacentral:tRNA from 1 species
GCUCUGGUGGUGCAACAGAAAGCACUUGGCUGCUAACCAAAUUGUUGGUGGUUCAAAUCCACCUGGUGGCA